CCUACGGGUGGCAGCAGUGAGGAAUAUUGGUCAAUGGGCGCGAGCCUGAACCAGCCAAGUAGCGUGAAGGAUGACUGCCCUACGGGUUGUAAACUUCUUUUAUAAAGGAAUAAAGUGAGGUACGUGUGCCUUUAUGUAUGUACUUUAUGAAUAAGGAUCGGCUAACUCCGUGCCAGCAGCCGCGGUAAUACGGAGGAUCCGAGCGUUAUCCGGAUUUAUUGGGUUUAAAGGGCGCGUAGAUGGGUUGUUAAGUUCGUUGUGAAAGUUUGCGGCUCAACCGUAAAAUUGCAAUUGAUACUGGCAGUCUUGAGUACAGUUGAGGUAGGCGGAAUUCGUGGUGUAGCGGUGAAAUGCUUAGAUAUCACGAAGAACUCCGAUUGCGAAGGCAGCUUACUAGACUGCCACUGACAUUGAUGCUCGAAAGUGUGGGUAUCAAACAGGAUUAGAUACCCGAGUAGUC
rnacentral:rRNA from 1 species